rnacentral:rRNA from 1 species
AAUAGAUACUCAGGUAGUCCACGCCGUAAACGAUGAGUGCUAAGUGUUAGGGGGUUUCCGCCCCUUAGUGCUGCAGCUAACGCAUUAAGCACUCCGCCUGGGGAGUACGGUCGCAAGACUGAAACUCAAAGGAAUUGACGGGGGCCCGCACAAGCGGUGGAGCAUGUGGUUUAAUUCGAAGCAACGCGAAGAACCUUACCAGGUCUUGACAUCCCAUUGACCGCUAUGGAGACAUAGUUUUCCCUUCGGGGACAGUGGUGACAGGUGGUGCAUGGUUGUCGUCAGCUCGUGUCGUGAGAUGUUGGGUUAAGUCCCGCAACGAGCGCAACCCUUGUUCUUAGUUGCCAUCAUUUAGUUGGGCACUCUAAGGAGACUGCCGGUGACAAACCGGAGGAAGGUGGGGAUGACGUCAAAUCAUCAUGCCCCUUAUGACCUGGGCUACACACGUGCUACAAUGGACGGUACAAACGGUUGCCAACCCGGCGAGGGGGAGCUAAUCCGAUAAAACCGUCCUCAGUUCGGAUUGUAGGCUGCAACUCGCCUAC